UACGUAGGGUGCGAGCGUUAAUCGGAAUUACUGGGCGUAAAGCGUGCGCAGGCGGUUUUGUAAGCCAGAUGUGAAAUCCCCGGGCUUAACCUGGGAAUGGCAUUUGGGACUGCAAGGCUUGAGUGCGGCAGAGGAGACUGGAAUUCCUGGUGUAGCAGUGAAAUGCGUAGAUAUCGUGAGGAAGACCAGUGGCGAAGGCGGAUCUCUGGACAGUUCCUGACGCUGAGGCGCGAAGGCCAGGGGAGCAAACGGG
rnacentral:rRNA from 1 species